UGUAAUGCUUUCUGACCAAGGUGUCACCAU
rnacentral:piRNA from 1 species